ACGGUUACCUUGUUACGACUUCACCCCCCUUACCCUCCACACCUUCGACGCCUCCGCCCCCAGGGGGGUUCGGCCGGCGGCUUCGGGUGCAGACGACUCGGGUGGUGUGACGGGCGGUGUGUACAAGGCCCGGGAACGUAUUCACCGCGGCGUGCUGAUCCGCGAUUACUAGCAACUCCGGCUUCACGCAGGCGGGUUGCAGCCUGCGAUCCGAACUGGGGCCGGCUUUCCGGGAUCCGCUCCCCCUCGCGGGGUGGCAACCCUCUGUACCGGCCAUUGUAGCACGUGUGCAGCCCAGGGCAUAAGGGGCAUGAUGACUUGACGUCGUCCCCACCUUCCUCCGGCUUGACGCCGGCAGUCUCCCGCGAGUCCCCAACCUAAUGCUGGCAACACGGGACGGGGGUU
rnacentral:rRNA from 1 species